UACGGAGGGAGCUAGCGUUGUUCGGAAUUACUGGGCGUAAAGCGCGCGUAGGCGGCUCAUCAAGUCAGGGGUGAAAUCCUGGAGCUCAACUCCAGAACUGCCUUUGAUACUGAGGAUCUCGAGUCCGGGAGAGGUGAGUGGAACUCCGAGUGUAGAGGUGAAAUUCGUAGAUAUUCGGAAGAACACCAGUGGCGAAGGCGGCUCACUGGCCCGGUACUGACGCUGAGGUGCGAAAGCGUGGGGAGCGAUCCGG
rnacentral:rRNA from 1 species